rnacentral:rRNA from 1 species
GGGUGCGAUCAUACCAGCGUUAAUGCACCGGAUCCCAUCAGAACUCCGCAGUUAAACGCGCUUGGGCUAGAGUAGUACUGGGAUGGGUGACCUCCCGG